UGAUUACAUGCAAAUCUGAUCGCAAAUACAAUAUAUAUGCGGUUUGCGCAUCCAAUGGAUCUGCAACUAUCUGUCAUUUUGCAGUAUAACUAGUAAAAAUUAUGGAGUUGUCGAUGGAGGGCAAUGGAAGGUGAGUUUGUUUUGGCCGCCAAGUGGGCGUUCCCAUAUGACGUCACGUGAAAACUAUCAAUACCGUAUCUUCGUUUUUUUUCCCGGGGGCACACAAUGCUGUGGAGCAACAAAUGUUGGGCUAGUUUUCAGGCAUUUUUAGCCGGUUUUGAGCAGUCGUUCUUAUGGAUUUUUUUAAUUAACCUGGCAAAACUGGCUGUAAGUGCUGUUGAGUAAAGAAAGAGAGGAAGUGAGAGAGAGCGUGAGGAUGACAACAGGGCCAGGGAGAGCAGGUGACAUGGAGAGAGACAGAGGAAGAGAGAGAGGGAGGAAGUGACCUAUAUAGAAAGCUGUUCCGAGCCCCAUCCAGCUCCAGCUGCCUGCUGCAUUUCAAGAAGGGGGCUCCUAUGAAUAAUGCAGAGAAUGCCUCAACACCCUCAACACCACAGCCUUCAAUAAAACCAUCCUUAAUGAGUGUUAAUGACAGUGAGGCGCUGAGACAAUCAAAGGCUGUGUAUGUGUGUGUGUGUGUUUGAGUGUGUGUGUUUGAGUGUGAGAGAGGUGUGUGGAGGCGCAGAGCAGUGCCAUUGCCCUGGGCGCAGUCAAGGUUGCCCUAGGUGAUAUCUGAGACUUUGAAAAGUACAUGAAAGCUCGAGGAACUGACAGGGCAAGCAAACCCAUGGUAUGUGUAGGUUACCUAGGGCGUUAAUGGAAGGACGAUACUGGGAGAAAUUUUUCUGGGGAUGUUCAUGAGUUUGAAUGUGACAUGGCUUGGAUUUUUCUGGUUACUGUCAAUAGUUUAGGCUUUGAAUUUUGUGGGCUUACUUUUUUUUCAGAAGGUUACUGAACUUUCAGAUAACACUGUCCCAAAGUUUCCAACUGAGUCCUUUUUAAUGGUAGUCUACAGAGCUCCAUACUUGGCAGUUCUGCCCCGGUAUGUUGGACAUUGAUAGAUGGACUGAGACACACCCUCCUCAGACUGACCCGUCAGGGCCACCCACCCAGCAGAUGUAGAGAGCCACGACUUGCGUUCACGUGUCAGCGCCCAGAUAGAUGUUGCCUGGGGAAGUACAUGGUCAUGAUGAAUAGCCUCUGCACGUCCACCAUCCCUCCAGCCAACCACAGGUCCUGGACCCACAGUGGAGGUUUGGCUCUGACUAUAUAUGAGAAACAAUGACAGCUGGUUACGAUGUUGACAUCUGCUGGAAGCACAGAUGUCAACUUCAUGAGGGUUUUGUAAUUUUUCGGUUUUUUUAACAAAAAACUGAAGUUAGUUUCAGAACUGGACAUUAGGUAUUGUCUGUUAUGUAUAGAAAACUUAAAUAGGCCUACUAGUUACUUUGAUAGGCCUACUAGUUCAAUGCAGCAUGAUGCUCAGUGAACCAGAACCUGGGUUUUCACACAGGACUGAGUCUCGUCACCCGGGAUUUGAUAGCUAUGCUAAUGUGAAAUCUGGAUGAGAAGCAUAUUCAGAUCGGUGGAUAGGGUCUGCACAUUUAAAGGGUAAUUAGUAAAAGUUGGGUAGAUGGAAUGUUUUGUUUGUUUUCAGAUCUGACAUUAGUCUGGCUGCUUUCUCUAUACAAGUAGGGAUUUGCAACCCGCCGUUUCUCAAUAUAAUGAUUUUUCGGGUUGUCUUUAAUACUCCAAAUAUGAAUGAGUAUGGGGCUAAGGGGUUCAUCUGAAAUGCUCUACACGUCAACAACAUUGAAUAAACAUACAAUGCAAAAAUG